AGUUCCUCAACAAUCUCCCAUAGGCAUCGAGAUUUAUGGUGUACUCCUUCACUGGAUUGGAAGCUUCAUGCCUUCGACGUGCUUCGAUGGUGCGAAUCCGGAUCUGGACUCAUGCUUCAAUAUGAAUGGUUAGUGGGGAGCCAGUACAAGUCUUUAGAAUUUGUUAAUUCGCAAAUCUCCUCGAUAUGAACUGGAUGCGUGGGGUCUAGGUGAGUGUUUCGAUUACAAUUGUUUUCUAGAAUGGUCGCUGUAGGAUGCUUGACGUACGAGCUAUUCUCGAUGUCAAAAACAGGGGAGUUACGAAACACAGCACCAAUUCCCAAGGUUUGUGCUGGAGUGAUAGUGGUAUUAACAUAAAUUUGCAGAACUUGUUGCCCGAUUAUCAAAGGUUGCUUUGAGCCCUCACGAUGCUUCAAAGUUGAUAGAAAACAGCGAUUUCUUUCAAAAUAAACUUCUGGAAACAGUCCAGUUUAUGGCCUCAAGGAUACAGCUUCCUUGAAAAAGAUUCUUCCAAUGGUGGCUUCAGUUCUGGAGUUUGGGUCCGCAGCAGCCGUUACCUCCAUUUUUUAAAUGGGGGCUUGGCUGUCACAAUAGCGUACUGCAUUUUUCUUUUAUUAAGUUUUUGAUUGGCAACGCUGCACCGUCGUUCUGCAUUUUAUCCUUAUUUGUAAGGUGACUGACCUUUUUUUCACAAUUUAUUGUUCUUUGCGUCGACUGACCGUACUAUUCGAGCAAGUUUAUUUGAGCAAGUGAUCAGUAUGGAAAUACUUUUCCAUGAGCAACCACUGGUUUUUCGAACACACGUUGAAGUCAAUGCUCAUUUUUGCACCAAAGGUUCCUUUUUCUCUUUUAUUUUUCUUAGUCUCUAUCAUGUUGACGAAGAACCUGAACACUGCCGGCCUUCUUAACGUACAUUCUCCUCUUGUUCUUCGAAUCAAGUUACAUUUUUCAUGCAAGAGUCUGAUCAACGCAUCACGGCAAGGGCUCUAAGGGAUGGAUUUGCUCCUGCAAGGGGUGCUGGUAUGCGUUUGAGCUCUUCCCUGACAAGGUAUAAUGGGCCACAAGCCAGUAACUACAGGUUGCUCCAUCUUUUAUUCUAGUUGCUUAACUGAUGUGAGGACUAAAGCCUUUUAAGCUACUUGUCCGGAAGCAUCACAACAAGGUCAGCAUUGUCCACAUCGAAGUAACUUUAUCAAAAAUCUACUCUGAGCUCGAGGAUGGAGUGAGCCCCAGUAUUCUGCCUGUUGCAACGUCGGGUCUUCUCGGCUGCACUGUGAGCUCUCUCAAGACCAGCUAGCACCCCAGCCCAGCACUUCCUUGAGCGAAGAUUUCUUCGACAGCGUAGCCGAUGACCAAAGACGAGCGAUGGAUGGGACGACAUGGAAGACGCGGCAGCAGCCACAGCAACGCCAUGAAACAAGCUGCAUAACAGCGUCCCAUUGCAUUGCGUCCCAGACGAACGCCAACGGCCCCAAGCAAACAACCACUGGUGAGAGUCUCCAACCUUUCCUCUGCUGCGGUUUUCAUUUCUUCGCAGGAGUAGCGGUUUAGACAAUGCAUCCAUCGAGAUCACCUCAUUGACGAAACCUCACUCGUUUCAACUCAGUCGAGAGUAAGGGAGGGAUGGUUAUGAUCUCCAAUGUGAGAUUGUAUACGAGAUCAUCCGAAAAGUGUGAAGUGUCCGCUUUAUGUGCCACGUGGCAUACCACGUGGCUGCAUCUUAGAUGAGGGAGAAAACUUGCUAGGAAGCAGGGGCUUUGUGCAGUCA